GUUACGUAAAAUCGAAAUUGCAGAGGAAGAGCGGGAUGUACAAACGGUCGCUGUACACAGUAAAUAAUGCUGGUCAGAGACCGAAGAGGAAAACUCUUGCACAAGGCCGACUAGUGAAUGAUUCAGGGCAUUCUUCAGGGAAAUCUCGAGGAGUUCUGGCACAUGGAAUAGAUGUACAUGUUAGAAGUGUUGAUGAAAGAGUACCUCCACAAGUACACAAUGAGUUCCCUGCACCCAAGAUGGUUUCUGAUUCAACCAACAAUGAGGAGAAUGAACCAACAGCAAGCAUAACACCAAGAAAAAAAGCACCAUGCACCACUGAGCAAAACUCACCGGCACGAGUUCGAAAAACGGACUCGUUGGAUCUCUCGGACAGUGACGAGGAAAUUGAUAAUGGAUCAAAGGUUGAUAUUUUGGGUCACCAGAAAAUGACCACGGAUGAUGUAAUGGUUCUGGAUGCCUCUUCUCGCCUGGCUGACCCAGAUCAAGUAGAAGUGGACACGGUGGUUGGUUACAGCAAAUCACCCGCCCGUGUCAUCUGUCACUCCCCUGCUGGGGCCAGGAGACAGCUCAGGAAUGCUGCAGUAAAAGGUGAAUCCAACAAGGUGCCAGUGACCAGUGUCCCAGCGGUCUCUGUCUCUGCUCCUGCGCCAAGUUCCCCCAGUAACCAUUCAUCCCCUGCAGUCAGAGAGAGACAAGCAGAAUCACCAAAAAGCCAUCAUCACAUGUUGGGAUCACUUCCUGUUCUGACUCAGAUGGAGAAGAUGAUGGGAUUGUCGCAGCCCAAUUUCGAUGAUUCAGGUGAUUCAGAUGCUCUCCUGCAACCUCAGGAUGAGAAGUCUGAUGUCAUGUCUCUUAUAAGUGAAAGUGAUGCCUGCUCAAUCUCAGACUUUGUCACAAAACCAGUCAACAAAACAAAACCUGUUAAAAAAGCAAAAGCAGGACCAAACACUCCAGGCACUGCCAAGAAAAAAACUAAAGUUGUGCCAUCCAGAUACAUGCAAGCUGCUCAGGCCAAGGCCUCUGUGUCCGUUCUCAUGGAUAAGUCUUCAAAGGCAGACAGAAGUAAAGUAAGUCGCAGUCUAGAAGUACCCACGUCACACCCCAGUCAGAGGGCGAAGAAACAGAUUAAAGAGAAAAGGCAAAUAGAGGUCCAGAAAAAUCCAAGCACCCCAGAGAAUUUACAGAACAGGAAAACGGGCAAAACCUCCACCCCCACCUCAGAUGUGUCAUUCUUUUCCACCCUGCAGACAGACUUAUCAGCAAUAUCAGCAGCUGGAGAUGUAUCAAAAUUGAAUUUAGACUCACAUCAUUCAAAAGCAAAGGUUUGUGCAAAUGUACUUUUUACACAGCUUUUUAAGUACCGGUACAUGUUUUAUAAAAGACUUUCAUAUUUCAUCACAGCUGAUAUCUACUUUUACAAAUUAUCUACUUAUUUGAACUGAUUUUGACAUAUUGGUACACGAACUUUCAGCCCAGACCCAAUAUAACACAGCAGACUUUGGACUUGCUGUAUGGCAGGUUUGUACAGUGGGAGUUUCUUGCUUGUAAGGCCAGGAGGAUCAAAGAAGAACAAGAAAAGAAAGCAAUGGUAUAAUAUAUAUUUAUUAAAUGAUGUGAUAUAUAGAAUUAUUUAAGCAAUAAAAUUCUUUCUUUGGUGAUUCAUGCAGAAAUAAAGCUUAAGGUGGCAACAUUGCAGAAAAAAUACAUAACCUGUGUUCAGGAAAUUUUUUUUUGCAAUGAUCGCUACCUUCAUAACCCGCAUAAUUCAUCAAGGAAAGCAUUUUAUUGCUUAUAUUUACAUCUUUCUUUUACUUAAUUGAUUGCAAACAUAUAAACUAAUUUACUAAUAAUAUACAUCAGUACGUUAGCUAAAAGAAACAGCCAAAACGUCUCCUAUGGGAAUUUCGAUAAUAGAUAGGGUGUGUAGGUUUUAGUUCUGUCAGAUUCCAUAGAGCUAUGAAUUAAUAAGUUUCUGUAUGGAAUAGAGGGAAUCAUACUUGGUAGAUGUAAACAUAAUGAGAUAAAAUAAUAUCUUUAACAUCAUUUGGAAAAGAGGUUAUUGAUUUUUUUGUUAUAUAUAAUCUGUGCUAAUCUUUUUGGGAUUUUUUCACAGUCUCAAAUGCUCUGGCUACAGGAAGAGUUGCAAAAACUCCGGAAGCUCAAACAUGACAAAGACAAAGAAUUAGCAAGACUUAAGCAUUUAAAUGAAUUAGAUGAACAGCUUGAUAUUCAGGUAAAGGGUGUCUUAUGUACAGUUUACUUAAAUUAAUAUGCACAAUGUGGAGCGUCACAUUUUCUUUCAAAUGUACAUGUCCAUAUACAAAGGUGUUGGGUGACCACAGAAUCUUAUUUCAAAUUUUUAACGGGAUUUUCCAAAGGUGAAAAUUGGGUUUUGGUUGGGUGUGCAUUCUGCUGCCAGGUGGAUACCCCUAUUGUACGGAUAACUCCUCCUACAGGUCUUAUGAUAGGAAAUUGUUGUUUUGCAGAUCAAUUAUGCACACAUUAGAGAUGUACAUAUUACUGGGAUUUUGAUUUUUGGUUAUUUAUGGAAAAAUACCAGCUGUUGAACAUAUUAAUUUUUUUGCAAAAUAUUGCAUAUAGUGUACCCCAUUUCUCUGUAAAGGGAGUGUUUCUCAAUUCAGGGUUGACAAAUUGAUUAUUGAUACUGUUCACACACAAAAAAACCUGGUAAGCUGUCACAUUGACAGUUUUUCUAUUCUUUUUAAUAGAGAGAAUGUUUGGAACCUGUGGUCAGUCAUCUCCCAAAACUUACCAAGCAAUAUGAGACACUGGCACAGGCCUUGGAUACGACUCGUCAUCAAAUCCCAACAAAGGGCAUCUAUAUUCCACAAGAUGAGGCCCUUUUCCAUAGUCAGCUUGAACAAAUUUUACAGGAGAGUGAGUAUCUCCUUGGAAACCUAUCUGCCAGUACAGGGCAGCCAUUACAUAGUGCCACAGCAACAGUUGCUAGGCAUCUAGCCUCCUUAGAAAAACACACCAACCAGCAGUGUCAGCAGUUAAAGAGUUGUAAUGAAAUGAUUGCUGCGACACAAAGUUUGACUGUUGAAGAAAGUUCCCUCCUCAUUCAGAAAGAAGUGUUGUAACAAACGAAAUCUAGGACUUUAUAUUAUAUACUUAUAAUUUAUAUACAUGUAUAUUGCAAAAAUAAAUAAAUG
rnacentral:misc_RNA from 1 species